CUACUACUCCCUCCAUCCGAAAAUACUUGUCAUUGAAAUGGAUGUAUCUAGAUGCAUUUUAGUUCUAGACACAUCCAUUUUGAUGACAAGUAAUUCCGGACGGAGGGAGUAUUAU
rnacentral:pre_miRNA from 1 species